AUGGCUACAUUUCCCCUACAGCUAGACAAGUAUAAUAUCUCUUAUGCUUACAUGCAUUCACUGCUGGAGGAGCAGGCUGACUUACAAAAUAUGGGCUUACAUGUUUUGUUAGCUGUGACUUUCUUGAUUCACGUGUCGUUGUUCCUCAAGAAUAGAAGGAAGGUUGAUAUCUCUACCCACUUGCAGGACAUACAAGCCUUACGUAGCCAAGCUCUAAAUGAAUCAAAACUUACCUAUUCAUCGAUUCUUGAGCUGUUAGAACAAAAACUGGACGAUGGGCUCCGUUCAAUGUUCUAUAAGAUACAGACAGAUCUAUCUACUACUCAAGCUGAAAUGCAGCAUAUUUAUAACAACAUAAAAAUGGACAGAUGCUCCAUCGAGUCUUUAAAAGCCGAUCGGGCAAAGGACCGUGAUGAGAUUCAGGAACUUACUCAGCACAUUUAUAACAACAUAAAAAUAGACAGAUGCUCCAUCUUAGAGUCUUUACAAGCCGAUCGGGCAAAGGAUCGUGAUGAGACUCAGGAACUUAUUCAGACCUUACAAAUUAAACAAACUAAAGACCAUGAGGAACUGACAUCUAGUUUGGGAAUGCUGCAAGCUAAACAGACUAAAGACCAUGAGGAACUGACAUCUAGUUUGGGAAUGCUGCAAGCUAAACAGACUAAAGACCAUGAGGAACUGACAUCUAGUUUGGGAAUAAUACAAGCUAAACAGACUAAAGACUAUGAGGAACUGACAUCUAGUUUGGGAAUAAUUCAAACUAAACAGGUUACAGACCAUGAGGAACUGAAAUCUAGUUUAGGAAUACUACAAACAAAACAAACUACAGACCAUGAUGCCUUAAUGGCUAAGCAGGCAGCAGACUGUGAAUCGUUAGAGAUGGCAUGCAGCCGCUUAGAAACUCAGCUAGGCUCUCUCUCCUAUUCCUUUGUCACUAAGGUACAAGAGACCCAAAAUAGGCUUCAACAAUCAGAUAAUGCCACUAAGUCAAUAGCUGGAAAAUGUGAGAGGGACUAUAAUGAACUUAGAACUGAGCUUCAAAGAUUACAGGAGGAGUUACAGACCAGGGUGGUCAAACUGGAAAUGUCUACCAAGUUAAUGGCAGAGAUUAAUCGCAACCUUGAUUCUAAAUUUCAAUCUCUGGAUGGCUAUUUCCAGGCCACCCAAAUGCUAGCUAGGGAUGAACGUAUUACUCGUCUAGAAAAUCUUACAGGAAAAUUGUCGAAGCAAAUCGAGGAUUCUGCAUCACGCCUUGAAUCCUUCAUGGUGGAUGAGAUUAAAGCCUCGCGUGACGAAAUUCUGACCCGGCUGACAUAUCUUGAACAAGAAGACACUGACUCACUUCGAUCUGAGAUGCACAAUUCGAGAAGGUAUUUCAAUCACCCUAAAGCGGUUACACACACACCUUUAGUAUACCCGGCCAUGGUGGUGGACAAGCAACCAUCUAAAAAACACUCCCAGGGGCAGACAGCAUAUACGUGA
rnacentral:lncRNA from 1 species